rnacentral:lncRNA from 1 species
ACAGAAAGUGGAAUUGUGAGAAAGAUUUCAAAAUAUGUAUAAGGAUCAAAAUCCCUAAUAUUUCUCAUUGUUGUCUAGAUAAAGCACACAAAAGAGAAGAAGAUCGAGAUAUAGGGUUUGUGAUGAAUUGAGAGCUAGCUUUUAAAGCCAACACGAAAUUCACGAUCAACACACUCGAAGAUGAGAAACAUUAUAGCGUUACUAAAGGAGCUAUUAGGGGUUGAUUUCGAAGAAGUUGGCAUGACAUCAAGAUCAAGAAAAGGAGCAAUGAUUUUCUUUUUUUUACUUCGAUAGUUGGCUUGGCUAUCUCUGAAUCAACAAGCGUGAGGUUUAAUCCUGUAUUGGGAUCCUUAGUUGGGAACCAAGGAGCACAUUGGGGUAACACAUGUGACAUCGGUUAGAGCUCUAUUGUCUUGUAGAAUUCCCGCUUCACGUUGAGAAUGUGAAUAGGAGUGAGGUUGUGGAUGUACCUUCCCCUAGUCAUAGCAACAUGUAAGGAUGAUCAUAGAAUUGAAACUUAAAGUCCGGAGAAUCAAGACAAAGAGGCACAUGUGUUUUAUGGUCCUACAUCAAAAUCAUCUAUAACCACUUCUAAUGGUAAUCCUGUUGAUUCCAUCAAUCAGAUAAAGGAUUGUACUAUAUUCCUACAUGGAUUUUGUGUCACAAAGGUUUAGAAAAAAAGUUUAUUUUGAGUCACAAUAUAAUAUUAAAUGAUAUUA